GGUGCUGCAAUAAAAAAUGGUAGGCGAAAGAUUUUAGAGGUUGAUAGUGCAAAUGACAAUUGCUCAUCGUCAGAAUCAAAUAUGGAACUUGUUUCAGCUUCCAUGAUGACGGAAGUGGAUGACACUGGUGAAUGCUCCUCAUCUAGUGUGAUGGUUAUGGAGGUCAAGGGGGAGGAUCUCUCAGAAAAUGAUCUAUGCAUUUCUAUACUUAGAUGCCAGGGGUUGGUUGAAGUUUUGCCUACCAAGAAUGAUGAUUCUGCUGAACAUGCUGGUCCUAGUAGUGGAAGUAGUUGUUCCCGGUCAUGCAAGAUUUGUGGUCAUACAGAUACUACACUGAACAUGCUUAUUUGUGAUAAUUGUGAAGAUGCAUUUCAUGUUUCUUGCCUCAAUCCCCGUAUGAAGAAGAUACUAGAUGAUGAAUGGUUUUGAUAUUCUUGUUUGAAAAAGAUAUGUAAAAUUCCAAUGGAAACUGGAACCAGAAGAUCACUAAGCAUUGCUUGUGAAAUGGGCAGAUGUAGAAAUACAUUGGCUAAAGGUGACUUGAAUCCAAUAGCAUUGAUGUUGAGAGACACUGAAUCAUAUACAAUGGGAGUUCAGUGAUGUUGAUGCCAUAGGUGAACCAGUUGAAAUGAAUCCUUCAGAGUGUGUUACUUCACAUGAGUGGAACUUCAACAAGCUAUAUACACCUAACUCUAUAAGUAAUUGGAUUCAGUGCCGAGAGGUUAUUGAUGGCAUAGGAGAAGGUAUAAAUGGAACUAUAUGUGGAAAGUGGCGCAGGUAAACCAAAUAACAUUCUUCUAUGGCUCCUCUUCGUGAAGUCCAAACUGAUGACUGGGAUUGCUUUCGCUCCGUCCUUUGGGAUCCAUUCCAUGCUGAUUGUGCUGUACCUCAGGGAAAAUAACCGUCAUUUUUCAGAUAUGUUUUGAAUGCUUUUUGUAUUUAUUAGAAAGACACUUUUUGGGAGGAAGAUUAUUUGCAAAAACAAAUCAGUUACGCCUUAAGAGUUAUAAAAGGCCAAUUUUUAAUGGAUGUGACAUUCUUUCUACCUUGGAGCAUUAAUGAACUUUUUUAAAAAUAAUUAACAGAAAUUUUCAGACAUUAGAUCAGGUCAUAACAUAUUGUUCUAUUCUGGCGAUUUUGCUUCUAAAAAAAAAAUCUUAGUUUGGAUUGAUCAUUGGAUUGACUUUUAUAGAUGUUAGAAUCAACGGUGGCCUUUUUAUGUGCAGCCAACUGAAAAACUAAUUGAGCCAAAUAAUUGUUCAAAAAGAAAUGAUGCUAAAUAUUGAAAAAGGAAAUCGAAGUGCAUGUUUAAUCAAAAUGUAUUGAUCACUCUUCUUUUACCAUGUUUGU